CUGAGGAUGAAACAGGACUCACCUGACAGCAGCAGCGCUGACUCUCUUCUCGGGCCGGGUGUUAACGCUGAAAAAAUCCAUUUGGAAGCUGAUUACAAGCUGAAGUUGUGGACUUUUUACUCCAGAGUCUGCUUCGCCCCUGAAACAGAUCACGCCGACAUCAUGUCAGGCUACAGCACAACACGCAGAGAGAGGGGUCUGUUUUUGUCUUUGGUUAUCUAGCUGUAUGAGUGUUAAACCCCCGUCAUAAAGCUAGAUAACCGAAUGUAAAAAUGACUUCCGUAACGAGGCGUUCAUUCACACGAGACUCCUCACGCGCUGCAGGCGGGUUUUUGGACGUGCUCCUCACACAGGCUUCCAAUUAACGUCACUGAAUAAUCAGGGAUUCCUGAAAAGACGUUAUGACCAUCAUUUAAAGAAAACAUUGAGGGAAAGUGGGAUGGAAGCGUUUGGUCCAGAUUCCUUCUCUCCUCCCCUCCCCCCACUCAUCCCCCCCUUGUUACCCAAGAGCCUCUAAUGCCAUCUGUACUGCCAACGGGGGGAGCCCUGCCCGUGCCAGGAGGCGGACAAAGACUCCGCCAGAUCCUCCGAGUAUGGGCGCGCUCACAGGAGCCAUCUUGGGAGAGAUGUAACUUCGACACCUAAAAUGGCUGGGGCUGGCAUAGUAGGAUUGGACAGGACCUGCAGCCCCCCAUAUGUAGGAACCCACAGACAUGAGGAGACCAAGGACCAAACUCACCAAAGUGAUCACCAUUCAGAGCUUUGACUCUCUCUAAAUAGUCAACACAGCAACAUGUGUUAAAGGACUUAAAAAGGACAUUGCAAUGUAAGCCUGUGAUGUAAAUUCUAAGAUGUUGUCCAUGAAAAUGUUACUUUGAUAAUAUUGUAUUAUACCAUUAUAAACUGGUUUAUAAUAUGCUGGAAUGUAUGCAUGCAUUACAUACACA